GAUGGAGCCGGCAGGCAAGGGGCCGCCACGAGGUGCAGGGUCGUCUGGCUGGGGACCCGGGGGCAGACGAUGGCCGGGAUCCUCCUCCAUCUAACCCUCCGCGUCCUGACCCGGCCCUGGGCGGAAGGGAUGUCUGCAGAGGUGUGCCCUGAACCUGCAGGAGGGACUGAGGUGUCUAGCAUGCCAACCAUCCUAGCUGGAAUACUGGGUUGGAGCUGAACUUCAAGGAGCCUGACCCCAGGCAUGCUUGGAUGACCACCUCUACCAUCAAGACCUGACACAGUGCAAAAGGCGAAGUUCUUCUGUGUUGUGCAGGGGGAAGCUGAACCAUUGCAACAGCAUGGGCGCCCUGGAGAUGCACGAGCGGGUGGAGCAGCUGAAGCAGAGCAUCCACGGCGUGCACCUCUACUCCCGGGGCAAGGAUCAACCUCUCCCCGUGCUGGGCCCUGGGAGGGGUCUGAGCCCAGUGCAGCCAGGCCGAGGGCUAGGUGACCACCUCCACUCUUCCGGUUGGAUUUGCCCUCCUUGGGUCAGGUUUUAUCCAGAGCAGGAAGGGGCCUGGGCAGUCUGGACCUGGGAGGAGAGGCGCUGCCCCUAGCUAGAUUCUUUAGUUAGGAGACUGACUUCAGCUCUGCUACUUCCUUCCUGGCUGCGUGAUCCUGAGCAAGUUGGGCCACCUUUCCGAGAGAGAGAGCCCUCAUUGCUCACCUUGGUGUGUUUUGGAGUGGUGGAUGAAGGCCUGUAGGUAGGGCUGGCUCAAGCAACCCAGCAAACCUGACUCAAUAGAAAAAAAAAGGCCGGGUGCGGUGGCUCAUGCCUGUAAUCCCAGCAGUUCGGUACAAGGCCGAGGCGGGCGGAUCACAAGAUUAGGGGUUCGAGACCAGCCUGACCAACAUGGUGAAACCGCCGUCUCUACUAAAAAUAUAAAAAUUAGCCAGGCAUGGUGGUGCAUGCCUGUAAUCCCAGCUACUUAGGAGGCUGAGGCAGGAGAAUUGCUUGAACCCAGGAGGCGGAGGUUGCAGUGAGCUGAGAUAGCGCCACUGCACUCCAGCCUGGGCAACAGAGUGAGACUCCGUCUCAAAAAAAAAAAAAAAAGUUGAGAGAGUCCUGGCACCAACCAACCAUGUCCUUGGUGUGGCCCUGUGGCUUGUCUCUGGCCCUGUGUUUGGCACUUAAAAAAAAAAAAGGCACUUUUUAUUAGAGUAAACAUGUACAAAACUAGAGAUGACAGCGAACACCCCCAAGAACCUGUCGUCAGCCUCAGCAACUGUCCCCAUCUUGCCAAAUGUGUUUCACUCUCCGUAACCCUAGGCCUUUUUCUGAAGUAUUUGAAGGGGAAUCUCAGAUAUCAUUGCACCUCUGACUACUUUAGAAUGCAUCUUAAUUAAAAAAUAAUAAUAAAAAAAAAAAAGGCAGAGCAUGGUGGUUCACACCUGUAAUCCCAGCAUUUUGGGAGGCCGAGGCAGGUGGAUCACCUGAGGUCAGGAGUUCAAGACCAGCCUGGCCAACAUGGUGAAACCCCGUCUCAACUAAAAAUGAAGAAAAAUUAGCUUGGCUUGCCUGUAAUCCCAGCUACUUCGGGAGGCUGAGGCAGAAGAAUCGCUUGAACCUGGGAGGUAGAGGUUGCAGUGAGCCAAGAUCGCACUACUGCACUCCAACCUGGGCGACAAGAGAAACUCCAUCUCAAAAAAAAAAAAAAAAAAAGGCAUUUGGCUGGGCACAGUAGCUCAUGCCUGUAAUCCCAGCACUUUGGGAAGCUGAGGUUAAGAGAAUCUCUUGAGCCUAGGAGUUGGAGACCAGCCUGGGCAACUAGCAAGACCCCAUCUCUAUGAAAAAAUUUUAAAAAUAGCCAAGUGUGGUGGCACAUGCCUGUAGUCCUGGCUACUUGGGAGGCUGAGGCAGGAGGAUAGCUUGAGCCCAGGAGUUUGAAGUUAUGGUGAGCUAUGAUCACACCAGUGUGCUCCAGCCUGGGCGAUACAGAGUGAGACCCUGUCUCUAUAAAGUGACAACUACAAAAACAAACAUUUGCUGACAUAAUCACAAUGUCAUUGUUACACUUUACAUAAUUGACAACAGGUCUCUGACAUCAGCUGGUCAUAGUCACCUCUCCUAGAUGGGCCACAAAAGUCUUUCUAGACUUGGUCUGUCACCUCAGGACCCUCAGGACCCAGUGAGACUCACAUAUUCAUUAUGUUUGGCUGUUAGGCCUCUUAGGUUCCUUUUAACUAGGGUGAUUGUAUAAUUAGUGUCUAAAUUGGGACACUCGUGAGAAUGAAAUGAAAGGCGGCCAUAUAUGUGUCCACACAGGGGCAGCAAACGUACACUGGGAUGGCCCUGGGUCCUUGGCCACUUCCGUUGAAGUCCCCUUUGAGGAGGGAUAGCCUGUCUGGUGUCGUCCUCUGGCAAGUCCCACUUCCCGGGUUUGCGUCUGUUACGGUCUGCUGGUGGGUUGCUUCCUCCUCUGCCUGUAUUUCUUGGACAGUUGCUCUAAAGCUCGAUUGGAUUCAGGCUCAGUUCCUUCAGUAUGUGUUCGUGGGUGCCUACACUAGUGUGGGGCUACUCACUUCUGUGUCACAUGGGGAGGCCCAGCUUACCUGGGGGUCCCACUUUCUGGGGUGCUGAGAGUGAGCCCUCCACUGAUUGUUGGACCAACAGCACCUGUAGCCCCCCCAAGGUGAGGUUGGUGAGAUGGAGCAUGUUGGCCCCUGUCAGCAGUGGCUCUAGGUAUUGUUCAUGGUGCUCUUUGGGGCCCCCGUCCCUUUCUUGUUGGAGGGACUGCGUGAAGACACCACACCACUGUAUUUGGCUCCCACUCUACCCUGCUCUGGCUGCAACAUAGGCACUCACUGGCACCUUUUGCUGCAGACACCAAGAAGACGAGAAGGAAGCCAAGACAGAAGAAACCAGAACCCAACCUCUUAUGGGACCGGUUGACCCCCCAUGUCUGCCACCAACCCUGCUGCCACCUCUGCCACUACCAACACCAUGGCCUCCGUGGUGACCCCAUCAGCCCUUGGCACCUGGGGCUGCCUUGCUUGCCUACAGCCAAGUAGGUGGAGCCCCUGGGUGCCUUCAAUCCCCACCCAACGCCUUAACCAGAGCAAACCCCGUCUAUCUGCUUUAUCCAUCAAGACCCUGUCUGCAAAGAGGGGUCUGCUGCUUAAAAGCAGAGGGCUGAGAUCCACGGCUACAGGCCCAGGAGAGCCCCUGAGAUUGUUCUGAGCAGGGGGCACCCAGGACUGCCUGGAGUGGGGGAGGCUCCCACUGACCGACUUGCAGGGCAGUGGAGGGAAGGGACCAAAGACCCUAGGCAUAGUGUAGACCAGACAGGAUCCUGGGGCUCCCAAAGGACAGGUAGAAAACCAGGGGGCUCCUCCCACAUCUCCAGCCCCACUCCUGCCUCUCCCUGUGGGCAUGGCUCCCCAUGCUACCCUGUGCCUGCAGUGCACUGGGUUAGAGCCAGGAUGGUGUCUGGCCCCAGAGAGUUGAGGAGGCAUGCUUACCAGGGGGAGCCAGGGCAAUGGAGCUUGGGCACGCUGUUUCCAGCCACAUAUGAGAAAUGGAAGCCUCCAGGGUUGAGAAUCAAGGGAGUCAGAUCAACCAUGUGGCUGCAAGACAGGGCAGAGAGGGGACGUCAGCCCCAGGCCCCUCCACACCUCAUGUGCAGUUCUACAGUAUGGGCACAGGCGCUGCCCACACAGAGCCGACCUCUGAGCCCAGACCCCUCCCCUGUAAAAUGAGAAUAAGCACUCAGGAUGGUUGUGAGGAUUCACUAACAGACUGAGAAGAAAUGGUGACCUAGCCUGGCACAUGGGACACUCCCCAAGAUGCUCCUUUUUCAUUUCCCUCAAGCCCAGAGUAAACCCCUUCUACCUCCUUGGGUUUCGUGACAGGCCAUUCCAGUUUAAUUUCACUUCAGAUCUUGAAAUGUCCAAAUUCUUCACCUGGAGGAUAGAAAGGAAAUCUCACGACAAGUUUGUUGGCCUCACUUGAAGAAAAGUACCUUAUAGAAGAGCCAUAAGAAUGACGUGGCUUUCAUUCACUCAGCAGAUACAUUGGGACCAUCUCUUGUGCCCACCUUGAGCUUGGUUAGGGGUACAGGAGAUGGGGUCGGGGGCGCUGGGAAUGAAGGAGGUCUUAACCCAUCCGCUGGGGAUGGAGGACUGCCUGGAGGUGGAGGCCAGACCUGAAUGAGUCACACAGGCUAAGUGGGGAGUCAAGAGGUGCAGGCAGUUAGGCCACCAUACCUGGCCGCUCAUCUUUUUUAGCAUUGAAUAAUAUUCCAUUGCCUGGAUAUUCCACAUUUUAUCAUUCACCCAAUGAAGGAUAUCCUGGUUGCUUCCAAGUUUUGGCAAUUAUGAAUAAAGCAGUAUAAACAUCUGUGUGGAGGUUUUAGAGUGUACAUAACUUUUCAACUCAUUUGGGUAAAUACCAAGGAGCAUGCUUGCUGAAUCAUAGG